AACGAACGCUGGCGGCAUGCCUAACACAUGCAAGUCGAACGAGACCUUCGGGUCUAGUGGCGCACGGGUGCGUAACGCGUGGGAACCUGCCCUUAGGUUCGGAAUAACUCCCCGAAAGGGGUGCUAAUACCGGAUAAUGUCUUCGGACCAAAGAUUUAUCGCCUUUGGAUGGGCCCGCGUUGGAUUAGCUAGUUGGUAGGGUAAAAGCCUACCAAGGCGACGAUCCAUAGCUGGUCUGAGAGGAUGAUCAGCCACACUGGGACUGAGACACGGCCCAGACUCCUACGGGAGGCAGCAGUAGGGAAUAUUAGACAAUGGGCGAAAGCCUGAUCCAGCAAUGCCGCGUGAGUGAUGAAGGCCUUAGGGUUGUAAAGCUCUUUUACCCGGGAUGAUAAUGACAGUACCGGGAGAAUAAGCUCCGGCUAACUCCGUG
rnacentral:rRNA from 1 species